CGUACGGCGCUUACUGAGGAUGCCAUUCCUACUAUUUUUCCCGACGCACCACCUUAUUUCACGAAGCAACUACCGAAAAAGAGAGCAGAAAGAAACAUGGCCAACAGCGAUGCCCCGCCAGCGAAACGCAAGGCUCCGAACAACGACCAAGCUGAAGCCGUCGAAACACAGGCCUGCACUGAUGAAACGCCGCAAAGACCGCGCCCGUUGGGAGAAAUCGAAUUACCGUCGGCAUUCUGCAGCAAGAUUUCGCUGCCAUGUGAUGCCACUGUUUGGUGCUUCGCGUGGCACACCGGCACGCAGCCCGGCGAUGUCCGUGUCGUAAAACACGUUACUUUUUCGACGUCCACGGAAGCUGCUGCUACGCAGCAAAAUUCUCAUAUUUGCACCGUGUUUUGCCGCGGCAUUAAGACAGAAGAGUUCAGUGUAAACAACGAGUGCAAUGCUGCCCAGGCAUUGAAGAAGGUCGACGAACUACAACUUUGUCCAGGAUGUGGCAUUGAGCCUGUCACCGGCGGUCUGUGCGUGCAGUUUGGUUCAGAGCACUCCGCAAAAAACUGCCGUGUGGUCAGCCCCGAUGGAAAGCCCUGUUUGCACUGCAAGUAUACCAAGAAACUUGUUAAAAACCAAAUGUAUAGAUUGAAUAAAAAGCAAGCAGACAAAUUUCAAGCGUCGCAUGGCCAGGAAAUCACUUCAAUUGUUCCGAACAAAGAAAAGACUGGCGCAAGCACAAAGGAGUGUAGAAGACCUUAGAACGAUCAACCAGAACAUUUCUUCCACAACUUUGGACGAAAGAAUCAAAGGUCUUCCUCCGAAGCAACGCCUCGCUGUGAAAGCAUGUUUUGAGGCGGCCACUAGAAAGUCAACGAGGGGCAUGUUGUAUGAGAAAACAUGGGUGUUGGAGUGCAUACUCACGUGCAUGAAAAGUCCCAAGCUUUAUGAACAUGUAAGAAGGCAUGAGAUACUUGCACUCCCCAGCAAGUCCUGCCUAGACAAACACAUGGCUGGAUUUAAGAGCUCCUUUGGAUUCAAUGCUACUGUUUUUGAGGCCAUGAAAAAGAAAACUGAUGAAAUGGAUGCACGCAAUUGCCACGGUGGCAUUGUCUUCGAUGAGAUAAAGCUCUCGGAAAACAUUAGUGUGAAAGCCUCUGGCAAGUUGAGCGGCUUCGUGGACCUCGGCCCAUUUAGUGAGGACUAUGAUUCCACAGUGAGUGACCAUGGACUCGUCGUAAUGUACCAGCCCUUUCAGGGAAGCCAUCAUCUGGUGCUGUGUACAGCAAGCACAUGCUUCGGGCAAGGAGGGAGCCAGCACCAUAUCUACAUCAGCAAGAACCUCGGUGCUCAAAAUAAACAUUUUCUGUGCAAAUAA